AUUGAACGCUAGCGGGAUGCUUUACACAUGCAAGUCGAACGGCAGCGCGGACUUCGGUCUGGCGGCGAGUGGCGAACGGGUGAGUAAUGUAUCGGAACGUGCCCAGUAGCGGGGGAUAACUACGCGAAAGCGUAGCUAAUACCGCAUACGCCCUACGGGGAAAGCAGGGGAUUCGUAGACCUUUCCACAUUGGGACCGCCGAUAUCGGAUUAGCUAGUUGGUGAGGUAACGGCUCACCAAGGCGACGAUCCGUAGCUGGUUUGGGAGGACGACCAGCCACACUGGGACUGAGACACGGCCCAGACUCCUACGGGAGGCAGCAGUGGGGAAUUUUGGACAAUGGGGGCAACCCUGAUCCAGCCAUCCCGCGUGUGCGAUGAAGGCCUUCGGGUUGUAAAGCACUUUUGGCAGGAAAGAAACGUCGCGGGCUAAUACCCCGUGGAACUGACGGUACCUGCAGAAUAAGCACCGGCUAACUACGUG
rnacentral:rRNA from 1 species